rnacentral:misc_RNA from 1 species
GAUGAAGAACGUAGCGAAAUGCGAUAAGUAAUGUGAAUUGCAGAAUUCCGUGAAUCAUCGAAUCUUUGAACGCACAUUGCGCCCUUUGGUAUUCCAAAGGGCAUGCCUGUUCGAGCGUCAUUUGUACCCUCAAGCUUUGCUUGGUGUUGGGCGUCUUGUCUCUAGCUUUGCUGGAGACUCGCCUUAAAGUAAUUGGCAGCCGGCCUACUGGUUUCGGAGCGCAGCACAAGUCGCACUCUCUAUCAGCAAAGGUCUAGCAUCCAUUAAGCCUUUUUUUCAACUUUUGACCUCGGAUCAGGUAGGGAUACCCGCUGAACUUAAGCAUAUCAAUAAGCGGAGGA